rnacentral:lncRNA from 1 species
UAAUUGUUUUUAACUAAUUCCAUUACUUUCAAUAGUAUAAAUACCAUAAUGUAGACUUAGGGAAGUAAUCAAAAUAACUCACAACUCGUAUAAAAUAAGGCUUGACAUAUAGAGCCAAAUAAGUAAUGUUGUAAGUCAUGAAACGACGUGCAAACUAUCAAAUGGCUUCUAAAUUCAAUGUGCAAGAUGAAUAAGAUUUAAAACACAUAAUUAAACUUUCGAAAACCGAUUUCAAAUCGCAACAUAAUCUAAUACAAAAUAUAGUAUAUUGACUGAAGACAUGAAAUCUCAUUUUCAAGAGAAUGAAACUACAACGUAUGAAAAAAAUAAAUUUCAUAAAGUGCAAUCAAGUUUUUUAAUAAAUAUACCAUUUAGCAUAAGAGAGAAUUUGUGCAAUAUUAGAGGCAAAUCUAAAAUAAUAAAGCAAUUGAUAUAGCAUAUAGACAUGUUCAAGCAUGAUAUGUUCAAUGAAUUGAUAUAUAUGCAAUACCAAAUAAAGCAUGCAAUUCAUGAAUCACAAUACACACCAAAUUAAAUCAUAUAUACAAAAUAUAUAAGUAUAAAUACAAUACAUGGAUAGAUAAUGUGUGCAAGUAAAUUCACAAACAAGACCUGUCCUGUGCCGGCCAUUGUGUUUGCAGCCCUAAGGUUGGAGAUUCCAACUUUAAAAAGGUCUUUUCUCUUCAAAAAGACGUUCGAACCCAAUGUCUCUGUUAUGCCUUAUUAGAUAUUUUCCCCAAAAAAACUAACUCAAACUCGGCCGUAAUAAUUUUUUUUCGUAUAAUAUUUUUAAGUGAAAUAUUGUACGAAAAAAAGUUAUUAUGGCCAAGUUUGUGCUAGUUUUUUUCUUUUUAUGAGACUUUUUAGCUGUUUUAAUUUUUGAAUUUUUUAUUUUAGUACUUUUUUACACCGUUUAGUUGGAAUUUUUUAUUUUUUUUAAAAACUAAAAAAUCUUGUGUGAAUUUAAAUAAAAAUUCACUAAAGACAGAUAAUUUAGCUAAUUUAUCAAGUUAAAAUAACAUGAAAUUUUUUAUAACUCCAAUUCCUCUUGUCAAAAAAUAAAAAAAGUACAAAAUUUUGAUCUAAAAGUUAACAAAUUUUUCACAAAACUAAUAGAAAAAAAACUACACAAAACUAAAGGAAAAAAAAUGAGAGACAGAAAGAGUAGUGGCGAGAGAGAGCAAUGGGGGCAAGGAUAUUUUCUUACGGGGACGGGGGAGGGGGGGUAUCAGGGGAACGAAAGCACUCUCUUGGUCUAAACCUUCACAAUUAAAAUAGUUAAUUUGUUUGUCUUUAGUGAUUUAUUUUCAAAGUUGCAGGUUAGAAAAGACUUUUCUCAUUAAAAGAAACCAAAAAAGUAUAAAAUUUAAUCAAACAGUAAAAAAAUUACUGAAACGAAAAAACUUGAAAACUAAAUAACUAUAUAAAAAAACAAAGCAAAACUAGUUGAAACAUAGGUUAUAGUGGACCAAGGAUGAUGUAGAUCUAUAAUCACCAAAAGUUCAAGUUUAAUUGGUCUAAACCUUCGCAAUUAGGUUGAAGGCUAUACAACAAAAGGCAGAGUAGAGUUUUUAGCACGAACCGGAAGAUAAAUAAAGAAAGUCAACUGUCCCAUUUAAAGAUUGCAAAUUAACAGACAAACUUGGGGGCCGAGCAGCUGCAAUGCACACCUAAAAAAAUAGUAUACGUGAUGCGUUCACUUAUAAUAUUAUUACAUGGGUUGUAAUAUUUAUGACAAUAGAUCGUAAGAAAAAAAAAAUUAUAAUUUUUCUUUAUUAGAAAAAGUUAUAUAACAUUUACUACAAUAAUGCAUAACAAUAUCCAUAACUAUUUUUAAAAUACAUGUCAUAAUAUUUCAUCACAGCCAAUUAUAAUAUAUAUCAUAUUAAUCAUAAAAUACACCACAACCUUGUAACAUUUUAUCAUACACGCGUGGGUACUAUAAUUGUUUCCCAAAAUGUUUACCAUGCGGCAAGGUGUUGUACUAUAAUUUUUUCCCAAAAAAUUGUAACAUAACAAUUGUUUACUUUUUUCUAUUUUGAAAGUUGUAUCAGAAUAUAAGACACAGUUUAUGCUUCUAUUUAUGGGCUAAAAAUAACUUAUAAAAGCUAAAAUGAAAACUUUUUAACUUCUACUUUUAAAUAAGAAAUUCUAACAAAAGUUUAAAUAUAUCAAAAAUACCCGUGCUAUGGCGUAUGGUCCAAGAUAAAGAACUUUAUUUUAGGAGUAAUUGUAUUUUACUCCCCUGUGGUUAACUCCAACAACACAUAACUCAAUUAUAGUUUAAAAACUUACACAUAACCUCAUAAAAAAAUUUAUGAAAUUAAAAACUCAAAUUUGACUAAAUUUUCUAGUCCAAAUUAGGCCUAAGUACUGCUUGAGAUUGUUUUCAAAAAACAUAAGCAACUCAGAAGCUAUUUUUUUUUUCUUUUUACUUUAUCUUGGAGUGAAAUGCACUAACUGUCAAAUAUUGAAUCAAGUCCACAUUAAUCAUUGAAGU